UACGAAGGGGGCUAGCGUUGUUCGGAAUUACUGGGCGUAAAGCGCACGUAGGCGGACUAUUAAGUCAGGGGUGAAAUCCUGGAGCUCAACUCCAGAACUGCCUUUGAUACUGGAGAGCUUGAGUCCGGAAGAGGUGAGUGGAACUCCGAGUGUAGAGGUGAAAUUCGUAGAUAUUCGGAAGAACACCAGUGGCGAAGGCGGCUCACUGGUCCGGUACUGACGCUGAGGUGCGAAAGCGUGGGGAGCAAACAGG
rnacentral:rRNA from 1 species